AAACUAAUUAUAUGCAACAGCACACACUUUCUUGGAACAUCAGAUUUAUAAGACAACAUGUAAACAUAUGUUGCUGAAUAUUUACAAGAAACAAAGAAUGUUAAUUAGUGGGGGAGAAAUGUAGGUUAGUUGAUUGAUGUGAUGCAAUAUUUUUUUUUUUUUUGGUUUGAAGUGGAAGUGCGCUAAAGUGAUCAAUCUUUCUAAUUAUAUGCAGAAGCUGAAAUUUGGAGACUGGUAUGCGCUAGAAACUGUGCACGUUGCUCCAUCAACUGGCAAAGUAUUGGGCUGUUUUUAGGUUCCACCACUUGUUGACAGCAUUUCCAACCACUUCGUUAUUUUUUAUUUUUGGUUGUGCUCGGCGGGGCUAUUAUUUCUCAUGUUUUUUUUUUCUUCUUCUUUUUUGUUGUUUUGUUUCUUGUUUUUUUGUUGUGUUUUUGUUUUUACUGUGCUGGCAGGAGGCGCAGAAAAGCACAUGAGUCGCUGUCAUUCCGCGCAACAUUUGCGGACGGGAGGAAUCCAGUGAGCGUACUUGUUGCGAGCCAUACGGCGGCGGCAGCGUCCCGGAGCUGUCAAACAUUGCGCACAGCCUCUCAGUCUUUAGUCAGAGGAGUAACCAGACUAAUCCAUCAGACAAACAACUCGGAAGAUUAACCUUUUUUUCUUCUUCUAAACCCUUGGCGAAACUAGUUGUUGCCUCCGCACCCGGAAGCCUGCUUUUUGAAGCCAUGAUCAUUUUUUUUUGUCACAUGGCUUUGGAGAAUUCAAUAACAACAAAAAAUGGCGACAAUCACGUUGCUCUGUGUGGUCUUGCUGCGUCAUUAAAAAUAUUCAUGUAAACACGGGACGCUGAACGGGAAAUUUGCAGUGUUACGCACGUCGCUUUGGUGCCCACGUCCGACGCGAUAAUAUUUUGGGCCAGUGCCCCCGUGCAGCGGGGCUCUAAUGGAGUUGUUUACAUGAAGCGCGGAGGGCGGACUGACGACGACGAAGACGACGGAGGAGGAGGAGGAGCGGGAGGAGGGAGGAGGAGGAAGAGCCGCUACGUCGGCCCGAGACGCGACAAGUGGGGGCGGAGCCUGCGAGGAGAAUCAUAACAAGUCUGACAUCACUCGGCCUUGUGGUCGGUAUGAAUAAUAUACAGGAGCUGGUCUCCAUCGAGUCCGAGCAGAAAGCAGGGAGAGGAGGAGGGAGAACAGUCUUUGCACUCCUGAUGUAUUCGUUUAUUUCUUUAUCUUACACCAAACAUUAACUUCUGUACCAUGCAUAAUGGAAAAUUAACCCAGAAACGGAUCCCAAAUGCACAUCCAGCAGGUCUAUAUAAGUCUCAAAGUGGAAGUGCAAGUUAAUCCUUGAUUAUUCGGCUAAACAAACGUAAUUGUGGAUGUUUUAGGAAUGACAAAAAUAUGAUACAGUAGUAUAUAUAUAUUUAUAUGUGUAAGGAAAAUCCUUAGCCCUCCUGUUAUAUUGGGGAGUGGGGAGGCGCAAAACUAACAAUCAGAGAUGGCACAAUAUACUUAUAUACUCCUCUCAGAUAAUCACCGUCCAAACAGGGGCUCUCUGACAAGUUUUAAAUCACUUUGAAAGUUGUGGAUUAAAAACGUGAAAAGGAAUGUUUCAGUAUCAUAAAUGGUUAAUAAGACUUGGAUUUAAACAGGCAUUAAUCAUCAACAAAGAGAAAUUGUUUGGUCACAGUUGUUGCACGUUAAAAAAUAAAUAACAGUCUUGAGAACCACAAGUAAAAUUAAAGAUAAAAUGAGACUGAAAUAAAAUGAAAUAGUCGAAGUAAACAUUUACAAAACUAAAAGAAAAAAAAGAAACUAAAAAGAAAAUCUAAUAUAGCGUAUAGCACAUGCUGCGUGUUAAGCCUUGUUAUGUAAACACGUUUUAUAAAAGACAUCAGGAUCUCACUUUUGAAGGCCAGGAUCGGCUAUCGUGCCACUUUCGUCGCGCAGAUACCAUCACAUGUCACAGAUCUAAAUAAAUUGAUAAACUAACAUAGCACCGCUCUGAUCUAAAGCUUAUGUCUGUAGCCACCCAGACUCAAUGCUUUAAAUUAAUACUUGAAUGUAGGAGAAAGGAUGUCUUAUAACCUUUAAAAAAAAAAAAAAAAUCUGCUUUUCUAUUUCUGUUGCCCCAAUUUGCUGUGGAAUAUAGGCCUAUCUGGUGCUGUUAGUUUGCUUUCUAGUGCUCUCAUGUUUAGAGAGCAGACGCGUUCAGAGUGGUGAAAAUGUCAGGAACUAAUGUAUUUAAGUUAGGGAUUCUCAGGCGACUUAUAUAUGUCUUUGUUUCGUUGUAGCUGCUGUUUGGAAGGGCUUCCAAGUUAUUGCUGUGAAGCCUGUUUUGCAUGAGAUGGAAAACGCCGUUAUCUUUGCACCUGCUGACCAUGUAGCUCGUUUUUUUUUUUGUUUUGGGCAGGUGACAAAUGGAGCGAAGCCACAGACUGCUAGAUUUGACAGGCUGCCCUGGUUCAGUUAUCACAGUGCUGAUGCUGUCCCCAUCGAAGGUACAGUACUGUGAUAACUGAAGGAUGGCUGCCAACUUGACACUGGAGCAGCUGUCGAGGCGGACGGCCGAGGAGCAGAGGAAGGAGGGGCGAGAGGAAGGACCGAGUGAGUGGAUAUUGUCUUGUGCCGAUAAAUAAAAGUUUAACAAGA